AGAGUUUGAUCAUGGCUCAGGAUGAACGCUGGCGGCGUGGAUAAGGCAUGCAAGUCAAGGGGGCCCGCAAGGGCAACCGGCAGACGAGGUAGUAAUAAUUAAGUACGCACCCUGGAGUCGGGCAUAGCUAUCCGAAAGGAUAGGUAAUUCCCGAUAAUCUGGUUAUUAGUUAUUGGUUAUCAGUUAUUAGUUGUUGGUAAAUCGCAUUUGCGACCGACCAAUAACCAAAAACUGACUACUAACAACUAGUAACCAGCAAAGUCUUUUCGCUCUGGGAGCGGCUUGAUCGGUAUCAGCUAGUUGGUAAGGUAACGGCUUACCAAGGCUAUGACGCCUAGGGGACCUGAGAGGGUGACCCCCACCGAUGGGACUGAGAUACGGCCUAUACACCUACGGGUGGCUGCAGUCGAGAAUCUUCCGCAAUGGACGAAAGUCUGACGGAGCGACGCCGCGUGGAGGAUGAAGUACUUCGGUACGUAAACUCCUUUUGCCAGGGAAAAAAUUAUUGAUUGUACCUGGAGAAUAAGAAGUUGCUAAACUCGUGCCAGCAGCAGCGGUAAUACGGGUGCUUCGAGCGUUAUCCGGAAUUAUUGGGCGUAAAGGGUGUGUAGGUGGCUGUGUUAGUCUCUUGUAAAAUUCCUCGGCUCAACCGAGGGCGCGCAAGGGAAACGGCACGGCUUGAGGAUGGAAGGGGUCUCUGGAACUCAUGGUGUAGCGGUGAAAUGCGUUGAUAUCAUGGGGAACACCAAAAGCGAAGGCAGGAGACUGGUCCAUAUCUGACACUGAAACACGAAAGCGUGGGUAGCGAAUGGGAUUAGAUACCCUAGUAGUCC
rnacentral:rRNA from 1 species